rnacentral:rRNA from 2 species
AAACUUUCAACAACGGAUCUCUUGGUUCCAGCAACGAUGAAGAACGCAGCAAAAUGCGAGACGCGGUGCGAACUGCAGUUAGUGAGUCAUCGAAGUUUUGAACGCACAUUGCGCCCUGGCCCACGGCCUGAUGCAAGGGGCACGCAUGGUCGAGCGCCUUUU